CACUAAUCCAUAAUUUCAUAGUUACCAACAACAUAACAAAAUAAUGUAAACUAUUUGAACCGUAUAACUAGUGUUAUUUUGUCUAAUAAUUAGUGAGUUAGAUAGCUAGCUAUAAUACAAGACAAUAAAGGGUACAUAAAAACUUCUGACACUUGAACAUAUGAUGAAGUCUUCCACAUGUCAAAUAUUUCGACAUCAUAACCUGAAAUAAUAAAAUAAGAUGGAUAUCAACAUUAUUUAUGAUAGGACAUAGUAUUACUACUGCUUUAUAACAUUUGACUACUAACAAUCAGACUCUGCACUUUGUCUAUGCACUUAUUUGUAACAAUAGUCCUAUUUGCAAGAAAUUAAAUUGUACAAUUUCGAGCUGGAGAAUAAAAGUAUAGAUCCCAAAAUAUAUGUGCUUCAAAACUUAGAUAUGCAUAAGAAUAAUUUAAAGAUAUUCAACUUAAAGUAAUUGGUUUGAAUCUAAGCUUUCAUGAGGUGCAAGCNNNNNNNNNNNNNNNNNNNNNNNNNNNNNNNNNNNNNNNNNNNNNNNNNNNNNNNNNNNNNNNNNNNNNNNNNNNNNNNNNNNUUAUACAUCUUUUACUUUUAUUUGUUUUGUUUUUGGUUAAGCCCGCUAAAUGAAUAAGAGAAAUUACAUGAAGUUCCUCAAAUAAAAAAUGCAUAGAGGAGUACAAAAUCUAUUUUAAAUUAAGACUACAUAUUAAAAGUUUACUUGGAGAAAGAAUCAACAUUUAUAAACUAAAAUCCUCGCUAGCUAAGUUACAAAUUAAGAAGCUUCAAAGAGAGCAUACUAAUAAGUAGAGUAAUGGCACUGAAUGUUGUAACCAUGACCUAUUAUUUCUUAUGCAGUACAAAAUAAACAUUUACAGUGAAGAGUGCAGAAACGGGAAUGGGCUUUUUGAGUGUUUGUACAUACUUGUUAGAUUUGCCAGAGAAGAUUUCAGGGAUUGAGAAUUCGAUUUGUUGUUCCUAUUGUAUAACAUUUUGCUUAGUAAAGUAAGGUGGUAGAGUUUUCUACCGCAUACAACAAAAGAAAGUUGUAAAUGACCAAACUCGUAUAUUAACAUUCCAUGGAGUACGCAAACAAUCAGAAUGCAAAUAUCGAUGAAAUGAAAGACAAAAACUCAUGUCGAACCUGGCUUGUUGGGUGUUUCUUGUUUUGCUUUCUUUGCCAGAGCCAGGAGCUACUUAGGAGAUGGAGCUGGUCUCUUUUUCUUUUCAACCUUCAUCAUAAAACAUCAAUCACAUAAAAGACGAUGCUAAUUAAGAUAAAUGUAGGCUCACGAGAAAAAAAUGAACAAACAUAAAGAUAAAAAAUUUAGUACUACCUCUUUUUGAUGUAUCUUCUUCUAAAUCUUCAUCUCCAUCCAAAUCAUCAAAAAAAUCCAUUACUUAAGGACCAUAAAAAUCCUAGUAAUCCAAAAUUUAAAAAAAUUAUGUACACCCAGAAAAAAUAUAAGAUAAAGCAUUUCUCCCUGUAUUAAAAGGUAAAAUCUACAUAAUAAGCAUCACAAAAAACUUUAUGAAUGGCACCAUGGCUACAGGCACAUCACUGGAGACAUCAUCACUACCAUCUUCAAAAUCAUCAUCAUCUUUGUUAGAUGUCGGUUCUUUUUUUGGUUCUGCCACCUUCGCAUUUUUCUCAAUAAAUGCAACCUUAGUAAGUGCAGACUUUUUUGAAUCAUGCUUUAUAUCCUUCACAUUAUCCUCAAGUUUUCCAUUUAUGCAUCUAAAACAUUCUCUUCAUGUAAAAAAAUAUCACCUCUAGAAUCAAUUUCAUCAACGCUCAGAUCAUCAAUUGUGCAUACAAUUAAAUACACACUCCCAUUUGUUUUAGUCAUGACUCAUGUAAAAUUUUAAACUCCUUUUCAAGGACCAAGUCAAACAUCAACUAAGGUCUAUCCUCUGCCGGUAGAGUUCCAAUGAUGUAAUUAUUUUCUCCAACAGUUAGGCGUAGAGGAACAUGUUUUACUUCUUUGGCAUACUUCACUUCAUCUAUUGCAGCCUACAAAAUAAAGAUCCCUAAUAGCCAUUUAAGAGUAAAGCCACAUUAUGCUAGCUUGAGAAAGAACACAAAUAUAAUUUAUUUAUUUUUAAAAAAAGAAAGCUAACCUUGUAAAUAUGAAUGAGCUUAUAAAGUUCAGGCUUGAUUUAGAAAUCGUCUUACUUUCACUUCAACACCUAUACAUAGCUCAUGUGAAAGAUAUGUCACACUUUAAUAAAUUAUGUUCAUAUGGUGUAAUUUCUGCAUCAUGAAAAUAAUUGACCAAAACCAUGUUAAGGUAUAGAUUAAAAAAAUAAGCACAUGUAUCAGUGGUUCAAUUUAUGUAUACAUAUACAAACCGAUCUAUACCUUUUUCUAGUUAUUUGGUUUUGAUUCUAGUAUGCAAUUUUAACUCCUAUUUUCUCUGCAUCUAGUUGCUAGAAACAUAAAAAAAUUCCUUUAAAUGAUACAAACAUCUGUAGCAGAAAAAUCAUGACGUCUUAAGCCUUCAAGAUUCAAUCCAUGAAGCUUAACUUUUUUUCUCAGAUACAAUAAUAUACUUUGGAACAUCGUUAGAAACCUGGAGAACAAAAUAACUAAGAUCCUAAAAAGAAACAUAUGUGAUCUUAAAUAUAGUUAGUGUGUUGUAGUCGUAUAAUAUAUGUGCUUUCAAUGUGAGAAAUGUAGAAGAACUAAUUUUAAUAUAUUCAACUUAAAGUAAGUGGUUCGAAACUAAACUUUAAUGAGGUGCAUCUCACAAACAAACUUAAAAGUAUAGCAAUUACAGAUGUAUUGCUAUCUUGAAUUAUGUUUGCAUUUAGGAAAACAACCAAAAUAUGAAACUAUUGAUAUCUUAAUUUAUCAUACGAGGAGUAUUGAGUCUUUCAAAGAAUUAAAAGACAUCAAAAAUUAAGAAAGAAUCUUACCACUGAACCACCACCAAGGAAUGAAAAAGAACCAAUACGGUAAAUUAAUGAACAACAAUAGCUCCUGUAGUGUGGCCGUAGUCCUGUAUGUGAAGAAUUUAAAUUAUCAUCUAUCAGUUAUACUAAAUUUCCAGAAUAGGUCAUGCUUCAUGAAAAUGACUAAAACGAAAUAGUCAACCACAACAUGACCUGCAAGAAGUGUGGUGUUUUUCACUAGAAAGCAAUACAUAUUUUUUCAAUACGUUAAAACUAAAGUGUAUCUAUUUGAAGAUACAAAGAUUUAGUUGGUUGUGUAUAUACAAGGACAUCAAUUAAGAUUUCAGUCUCAAGUUUAUUCAUUUCCAAAUUUUCUAUAAUGGAUCUAAGAACGGAUUGAAGCUUUUAUCUGUAAGAGUUAUUAGCAUUCCACACAAGUUGAAUUAGAUUAGCCUUUUAUGAAACAAAUGCAUUAAUACUACAAAGUAGAAAUAUAUUCUUUUGCUUUGAUAGCUCAUUUAUUUCCUAUUAGUAUAGUAAAUUUUUAAUCAAGCAUGAGUUCAUGUAGGAAUUUUUUUAUCCCUUAUAAACUUAUUAGUGAAUCAAAAGCUACUUAAUCUUUGCAAGAGAGUGAUAAGCAGUAUAACACAAUUAUAGCAUCCAAAUUACAAAUGACAUAAUGCAUGAGGGAUAUCAUAAUAAAAUCAAAUUUCCUAUAACUUCUGGGAUUAUAUUUAUAGGAAAACAAGGAAUUUCACCUCAAAGGGAUAAGGGGCAGAACACAUAGGGUACAACCUCCACUAAUAAUACUGAUAAUUAUCACUAGCGAUAGUAAUAUUUUUGAGAUAGAACAAGAAAUAGUAUUGUUAUACUUGGUGGAUACACUCUACUCCAAGAUUUUCCUGAUCGGGACCUAGACUUUAGGUACUUUCUUAACACAUGAAUUUGUACAUCAGCAAAUCUACACAGGAAAGAAGCACAUACAUGAAGAAAGUAAUCUGAAGAUCUCAUUCAGUAACCUCUAAAAAUUCAUAAGCAUUUUUAUUUCUAAAAUCUUAUACUCUUAGGAAACAUAAAUUGAUUGGAGUACACACACUAAUUCACCAACCUCUAAAAUUUCAAGAGAAUUUAGAUUUCCUAGCUUCUUACAAUUCCGCAGCAAUAAGACUCAAAGUCCUUCAAAUAUCGAUAGUUGAUGUUUGGAUAAAAGACAACUAGAAGGGACACUCUCCUCUCAUCUUCAAUGUUUCUCUCUUUGGUGAAUUCAACAUACAUAAUCUAAUGUUAUUCCUGUUUGAUCAAAAUAUUCAUCCGAGAACCUACGUUAUUUGGUAAUCAUACAGACAUAUAUUCAUGUGUGCUCUAGUUAUAUACAAACAUGAUUAUUCAAGAAAUCACCAUCCAUGUUUUUUACAUAACUUCAAUUAGACUACAGAUCACACAUUAGUCACCUUAUAAUGCAAUAUAUAUUGAUGUUUUCAAGAAAUUAAAACAAAUCUCAAUCACAGAGAGAUCUGAAUGCUAUAGAUUCAGGUAAAAAACAUCAAUUUUUAUUAAUGAUACACAGAGAACUUCUGAACAACCAAAGUAAAGAUAAAAGAAUCGGCGAAACAGAGGAAUCAAAUCAAGUGAUUUUCCAUCAAUUCAACAGCAGUCAGAGAUCAUAUAUUAUGAUUUAACAAACUCAAGAAAUCUAUAAUUUCACAAAUCAUAGAUUGCCAUAGUUAGACAUCACAAAAUGCAAUUUGACAUGGUAUCAAGUAUUUCGGUACUUGAUAAGAAGAAUAUUUUACCAAAAAAGACCAAAAUGUUAAGGAGAAGAAUUAUUAAGGUAACAAUCUGAAACUUACAUGAAUGUAGAAGAUGAAGAUGAUGACAAGGAGAAGAUUUAAACAUCGGUGGUUCAGCAAUAUCGACCUAAAGUCAUGACUCUGACUAUAAAUAGAUGAUGUCUAGUGAUGGGUAAGGCUACCAUAGAAGAUGAUCAGCGUAUAUGGCAGUCAUGGUGCCGCGAGGCGGAGAGCUUUAGAGCAGCAAUGUGGAAUUAGAAUGAGUAGGGUUUUUAGUUAUUUCUUUUGUUAAUUAUUGGAGGAAACAUCUAAUAGUGGUGAAAAACUAGGAGGGAAAAAUGACAAAAUUGUUUUCAAUUAGUAAUUUUUACGUGCAAAUUAUUUUUAUUGUCGGUAAAAAAUAAAUUUUAGUGGCCAAUGUUUAUGGGCCAGUAGUAUCUCAAUGUAAAUAAUUAAUUAGUGGCAAUUGACUUAUUAUCAUUAAAUAAUUAUCGCUAAAAGGCGCCUUUUUGUAGUAGUGUGAGGUUCAUAUGCAAGGCAAUACUAGCAAUACUAAUGUGGGAAUUGUGGAAAAGGAGAAAUGCAAGAAGGCAUGGAAAGGAAAUUACUUUUUAUAAGCUAGAGCAAAAAUGUCAGACCAUAAUAACACAGCUUAUAAGAAGUAAAUACCCGUGGAUAACAGUUCCUAAAGGGUGGGACACAAUUGUAGAGGUACUAAGAAGAUACAGGCCAAGAUUGCACUAUCACGCUGUGAGGUGGAUAAAACCGCAACAAGAUAAAUUUAAGUGCAACACGGAUGAAGCUAGCAGAGGUAACCCACCCUGGAGUAAGUUCUUACAGUUUCUGUAUUCGAGAUUACAAUUAAAGCUUGAUAUAUGCUGAAGCAGAUGCUUUAGGGGAUAGAAACACUAUGAAAGCAGAGACGAUAGCAAUUCUACAGGCACUUAGUUAUUGCAAGAGAAACAAUCUUCAAAACAUCAUUGUGGAAACAGAUUCGUUAGGAAUAACAAAAAUGCUUAGACAGGAAUGGAGGAUCCCAUGGGGCCAGGCAGAUGACAUACAAGAGAUAUAAGAGUUACAACAACAUGUUCAGGCACACAUACAACAUGUAUUCAGGGAAGCAAAUAAUCUAGCAAAUGAGGCAUGUGACCUAGAGGGGAAGAUUCAGACGCAAACAUAUCAACAACUAUGUAAAGGAAUUUUAAAUACUGAUAAAGCCCAAAUACCAUCACUGAGGAUUAGAACAAGGAAGAUUACAGUACAUGGGCAACAUCAUGAGUAGAGAAAGGAAUAAUAACAAAGCAGAACACAGAUAUGAUAUGUACAAUCAGUUUUGCCAAUACAAGGCAUACAUAACUGUGCAAAAGACUACGCUACAUAGCAUGAGCUUUCUCAACUUACAAAUUCCACCAGCAAAAGUUGAUGCCUUCAAAUUCAGAUGGUAUCUGGAGCUGAAGAAGAGAGCACGCUUCUUGGAAUCUCCUUCUCUGCCUCAGCUGGAAAUAAGGAGAUUAGAGGUGGAUGAGAGACGGCAAAAAGAGAACAGAGAAGAAGGAACUCACUCACUUGGAAUCUCUUAUACAGGAAGAUGCAGAUUUGGAGAAAGGAAGAGCUGAGGAGAAGCAGAGGCGGAUGAAUCCACAACACAAGCUCAACAGGUGAACAUAUUGAAGAAAGAGCCGGACCAAAUAGGGUUAAUUU
rnacentral:lncRNA from 1 species